UUAGCCAAAGGCAAGAUUCCCUUCUGUUAAUUUCCCGUCUGGCAAAAGCACGCUGGGCACCAAGCCAGCUUCAGGAACAAAGGACAAGAAGAGUUCACCUUUGGCUAGGCUAGCUAUACAGACAGGAGGUCUUGGUUUGUUGGUUAAAGGAAGAGACCAAGCUUUCCAUCUGGGAGGCCUCCACUAGCUCAAAUACCUACUGGUAAUGCAAACAACGUGGCAAAGCCUUCAACUGUGAUGUUAAGCACAUUUGGAUCAUGUCCCACAGGAGUCUGGUCUUCACUGACACUCUUGAAGAUUAGAGGCUGGAGCAGGGAGAGGCAGGACAAAUUAAUUUAACUUCAAAGAAAGGAACACUAGAGGUGCUGAGGAAGAGUGGGACUUCAGAUAUCCAGAAAAGCAGCACAGUGCUGGAAGUGCUGCUCACUUACCCCUCAUUCCCAAAGAAUGAGGCAAUCUGCAGGGGCCACAAGUCCCAGCCAGUAGCCCAAAGAAGAGCUCUCUGGCUCAUGAUGUCUGCAGUGGGAUAUGUGGUUUCUGCAGGCCAUAUCUCUGCAUUAAUGAGAACACCCCUUCAGGCAAGCUUACUGCUGACACCACAGCUCCUGGGAUGUUCUUGGUGUUGUCAUGGAUGGAGGCCUCCACAGGGGCCGAAGAAAAUUAUGUUCCUCAGAGAACUCCAGUGAGCAACCACAGCUUCCGAGCCUCUCCCUACAGCCCUCUUCGCAACACCAGCCUGUGCUUAUAAUUACACCAACAUCACUUUUGAUUUAAGGACUGUAAUCCUUUGUCCUCGCUAUAAACAACCUGCAUUAAACACAUGAACUGCGUGUACCAAGAGAAAAAUAAAGAGCUACAGAAAAUUGUGAGUCAACACCACAAAGCCACAGUACCAGAGCCUGCCUAUGCAGAGAGAAGCCUGGGAUACAUAGGCUCUGCUGGAAUGCACUAGGUCUGGAAGGAAUGGAAUACAGGGCACUGACCUGCUCUGUUUCCCCCUGAAGGAGGAGGACGUUGCUCCAGAGUUGAGUUGUGCAGUUCAAAAAGAACAGAACAGAGCUCCCACAACACCUUCACAGCAAGGGCUGGGACUGAGCAUCACCACCUGGCAGGUAGAGACUGUCAUGGGGAUCUGCACUAGGAAUGGAAGAGGUCUAUAGCAUCUACAGAUUCUCACGGCCCUUGAGUAAUUGUGUGGGUGUGGUCAUCUUAAAGGUCCCGCUCUCAAUUCAUCACUUUCUUCAUAAAUGCUCCUUUUCUGAUGCUCCAAACUUCCCACUCCUCCCCAAAAAAUCUUCUUUUGUGCUGAAGCCUUUUGUUUGGUCUGUUACCAAAAUACAAGGUUUUUUAAUUAAUCAGUGGUUAUUUGAAUAUUUCAUGUAUGUGGUGAUGCCACACUUCAUUUUUAUUCAAUUUUAAGGUAAGCUUCUCCUUAAAAUCAGCCUUCCCCAACCCUAAACAACGUAACUGUCCUAAAAACAUUCAUCCUAAAAUCUCCACACAUCUGACCUGUGUCUGUACAGCUGUAAACUGUGGUUUUAUGCACCAGCACCAGUAUUGUUCAGCAUUAUUAUAUAGCUCACUGACAUUGAAAACCACCUUCCUUGUAGAUUUCAGCAGCAAGAAAACUUUCUCAUUAGGCACUUUCUUCUUGGAGAUCUUUAGAGUACUGAAUAGUUUAGUGGAUUUCCAGGAAAGAGCGCUGAAGUUUCAGAUGAAUAAUGUUUUCUGCAUUUUCUGCCUGAAGGUCAAACAUUCCUGGGCUGCAUGGCUUUACUCUGCAGGAGCAGAGAGCCUCCACUCCUAUACAAUUUUAACACUCAACAAAGGGAAGAACCAUAUCAAGUACUUAAGUCUUAGAGUUCUAGAAUCUGAAAAACCUCAGCUGAAAAAUUCAGUUUAAGAUAUGAACUUGCACAUUUCUGAAAUUCUGAAGUGCUUCACUGCAUGGAACUGAAGUGCUGCGGUGGAAGGUGGACAGGCAAGUGCAAUGAAUAUAUGCAAAAAGUAGAAAAGGGUGAAAUUGCACAGCUAUUCUCUGUCUCAAUGAACAUAUAUGCUUCUCUCUGCCCCAACUUAUAGCUAUGGACUCUGUCUUCUGUCUAUGCCUGCUGAUCUGCCACAGUAAGAUUUUGCACAGGUCAAAAUAAGGAGUAAUACCACUAUGCCAUCUCUCCUAUGUUCUGUUGCACAUUAAACACACAGCCAUCUCUCUGGAGCAGUACAUGACCAUCAACUUGCUCCAUCAGUGAGGCUUAAUGACAAAUAAACAAAUCUUUUAAAAAGAAAACAUUUCUAAAGUAACUUAUGUAAAUGUCUAUUUAAGGGGUUUUUGGGCUGUGGCUAGACAUACCUCAGAAAUUCCCAAAUCAGUUGUGCAAAACUGUAAAAUUUAUACUUGUAUCCUCCUUGUAAAUUAAACCAGUUUUACAGGAAUAUACCUAGUGAAGGCUUUGUCAAGAUGAGGGAGGCCAACAGAUACCAGAGAAGCACAACACACCUAGGCAUAUAUGGCAGAGAAGCAGCUCACUGAUCCUGCUAUGACCAGAAACAAGACACCUGAGAAAAAAAGAGGAACUCACACUUUGCUAAGAUUUCCUGCCAUUUUGAAGAUGGACAUUCUCUGGCAAGCGAAGUAUCAUUGGCCACUUACCAAUCCUGAGAUUCCUUGUCCUUAAAUACCUUUUGCUUUCAAAAUAGUGCAAGCCUAUAAAACAAUUGCAAAAGGACUACAGAAAGUGUUUCUGUAGGAAAAAAAUAAAAAAUACAUGGUGCAGAAGAAAAAACUGCACAGGACAUUUUUACUGGGGGUAUUUUAUGCUAAAAGCACAUUACCAGAAUGACACUACAGUAGUUUGCUUUAAGCAGAUCUGCAGAUUCCCAGAUAGUCCUGCCCCUGUCUCUCACUACAGGCAUGGAGACCAAGAUGAGACCUAUAGAGGUGGCUGCAGAAAAUGGAAAUGGCUGCACCCUCUGAGCUGCAUCUGACAAACAAAUCAAGAACUCAGCAAUGUAUGCUGUGAUUACAGGGAGGGGGCCCUAAGGUCACAGGAGGGGGGAAUUCCAAGGGCACUCUA